GUAUUGCAAGUCGAUCGCCCCACCUUCGCAAGAAGGUGGGUAGCGAGGCGAACGGGUGAGUAACGCGUGGGAACCUCCCUCCAAGUCGGUGACAACCCCGAGAAAUCGGGGAUAAUCACCGAUAGUCCCGCAAGGGUAAAGAUUUAUCGCUUGGAGAUGGGCCCGCGUCCCAUCAGCUAGUUGGUAGGGUAACGGCCUACCAAGGCAAUGACGGGUAGGGGGUGUGAGAGCAUGGCCCCCCACAAUGGCACUGAGACAAGGGCCAUACGCCUACGGGUGGCAGCAAUCGGGAAUCUUGCGCAAUGGACGAAAGUCUGACGCAGCGACGCCGCGUGAAGGAUGAAGGUCGGAAGAUUGUAAACUUCUUAAUUUGCCGUAAGGCAGAGGAUUAAGCCCCGGCUAACUACGUGCCAGCAGCAGCGGUAAAACGUAGGGGGCGAGCGUUGUCCGGUUUUAUUGGGCGUAAAGAGUGUGUAGGUGUUCUGGCAAGUCUCGGCUUAAAUCUCGCGGCUCAACCGCGGAACGUGUCGAGAUACUACCAGAAUUGGGGGAGGUAGGGGGUGGCGGAACAUCGCAAGGAGGGGUGAAAUCCGAUGAUCUGCGAUGGAACACCGAAGGCGAAGGCAGCCACCUGGGCCUUUCCUGACACUGAGACACGAAAGCUAGGGGAGCGAAACGGAUUAGAUACCCGUGUAGUCCUAGCCGUAACGAUGGGCACUAGCUAUCCUGCAAGGGGUGGCGCAAGCUACCGCGUU
rnacentral:rRNA from 1 species